UACGUAGGGUGCAAGCGUUAAUCGGAAUUACUGGGCGUAAAGCGUGCGCAGGCGGUUUUGUAAGUCUGUCGUGAAAGCACCGGGCUCAACCUGGGAAUUGCGAUGGAGACUGCAAGGCUUGAAUCUGGCAGAGGGGGGUAGAAUUCCACGUGUAGCAGUGAAAUGCGUAGAGAUGUGGAGGAACACCGAUGGCGAAGGCAGCCCCCUGGGUCAAGAUUGACGCUCAUGCACGAAAGCGUGGGGAGCAAACAGG
rnacentral:rRNA from 1 species